UCUUUUUCCUCCUGCCGGGAAUACUCAUCCACCCUCCUGGCUCCUUGUCAUCCUUCAGGAUUCAGCUCAACACUGCUGCCUCCUCCAUAACCUUUCCUGAUCAACACAAUGAGAGUAACCCCCCAACCUUGCCCCACAGAUCAAUUCAAGGCCAAUUCUGAACCACUUCAAUCAAAAAGAAAGAAUUCCAUCUCCUCUCAUGGCUUGACAGCAAGUACUUAAAACCACGUUCCCUGGGGUCCAUGAAGAAAUCAUAUUAUUGCUUAUUAUUUUUUCCUGGUUGGGAUCAUGGUUUUGACUGCCUCAACUCAUAGCAACAAAAACCCAGGGCAAGGCUUUCUGAAACACAGACAAGAAUCAAUCAAAACAUCACAAGCUAAUUAAUGUAAUUUGGAGCCCCCGGGAGCAGCUGUAUUACAGCAAGCAGUAAGAAGAUAUUGAAAUGAUGAGUCGGUGUGGGAGGAAGAGCCCCCAGGAUUUAUGAGAACACAGACCCUGGAGCCCCAGGGAGAAAAAGG